rnacentral:piRNA from 1 species
UGCUUCUGCGCAAGUUGCUUCCCGUGCAA